GGAAAUUCGUGCUACGAACGAGAGGACAGGAUACGAACGAUUCGAGAUAGAAGAAGGACGUCAGCCUGUAAACCGAGAAUUCAAGCCAAAAUUACGGUGCAGCGACGUGCAAAGCGGAACGUCGAUGCGAUUAGAGGGUCGAAUCGCGCAAAGGCCGUGACCCAUCGUGUCCAUCAUCAACGAUUUAAUGAAGCCUGUAUUCGUCCUGGCAAGUUGCAUCACCGAGCGACCAAUUCAACGAAAGCCACAG
rnacentral:misc_RNA from 1 species